AAACAUUCCUGGCAGACAGGAAAGAAUUACGCAAAGUAUCCCGUAAGAAGAUUCUGAAGGUGCCUUUUCAGUGUAUUGAGUUUUCAUUGCUUGGACUGAGGCCACUGCAUCGUGCUACCAGUGAGGCAAGCACAAGCGCAGAGCAUGUGCCAGGGGACUCUUGGGACGAUGCCACCACUGAGUACGUGAAGUCGGCUGUAAAGA